AGUUAACUCGUGAGUUGUUGACUCAGUGUUUUCUUGCUUCUUCUUUAGUACUUUUUAGAGUAGAUAUCUUCGUGAUCUGUAUCAGAUUAUCAAUGUCCUUAUCUUACAUUAGGGGAAUGCUGAUUUUUAUCCUCCUCUAUGAUUGACAUGAAAUUUUUUUUCUAGAGCAGGAAGAGUCUUAUGGGGCAUAGUACUUGGUUCAUCCAAUAGGGAAAGCUUACAAAAAUGUUGCAGGUAGUCAUUUGGAGCCAGUGUUGAUGCUAAUGAAUACGACAAUGACAGUAUAAAGAUGCGAAGUCAUCCAGUAGGUCCUUUCGAAAGGCAAAGUCGUGAAGAACUAAAGAAGUCCAUAAUGGAGCUUAUAGUUCUAGUUUCAAACCAAAUUACACAUCAGCAUAGGUAAGAGCAACGAACCAAUAAGAAAGUUUGGAGGAAAGAGGUUGCUGCCAAGGGGAGCUUUGAUGAUGGAUUGGGCAUAGACAACCACUUGGAUUGUCUCGGGCCGACAGUGGAAAGCACCACCGAGUUUUGGCUCACGGCGGCUCACUGCCAAAGGGGGAAGGAUGACCCCACUUGCUAGUGCAUCUCCUGCUUAUCCAACUGAAGGGGAUUCAAGCCUUUUGAUCACAGAAGAGAUGUGCACAUACCCCAAGGUCAGAAUUGAAUUGAACACAGGUGGUCGUACUUGGAACCUGAUCUAUUCAAACUUAAUCAAGAUGAUGAUGCAGGUACUGUCGUGCCUAUGGCUUGUGACUCUCUAUCCUCCGAAUUCGAGUACAAAGUGAGUGACUGGUGGAUGCCGGAAGCGGAGGAGCAUGACCAAGGCUGUGCUUACGACUAUUGUGCAUAUGUGGCACCAUGAGAUGCUCAGCGUAUUUUUGUUAUUCUGAUACCGAAUUAUGAAUGGUAUAUUUUUGGGCUUAUUAUUUAUAAGUCGUGGAUAAUUGUAAUGGAAUAACUUGGUUAUUUAUGUAUGUUAUCAUUAGAUGUUUCUCCCAUUUUAAUUUAUGACUUUACUAUUA